rnacentral:rRNA from 1 species
UACGGAGGGGGCGAGCGUUAUUCGGAAUUAUUGGGCGUAAAGGGCGCGUAGGCGGCCCGGUAAGUCAAAGGUGAAAUCCCUCGGCUCAACUGAGGAACUGCCUUUGAAACUGUCGGGCUUGAGGCCGGGAGGGGGUAGCGGAAUUCCCAGUGUAGCGGUGAAAUGCGUAGAUAUCUGGAGGAACACCGGUGGCGAAGGCGGCAUCCUGGACCGAUACUGACGCUGAGGAGCGAAAGCCAGGGGAGCAAACGGG